CAGUAUGAGUGGGUUUUUAGGGAGCAUUCUCUGGAAAACAAACCAUUCCCUCUGGUUCAGUAUGGUGGGUUAGUGUGGAAAGGUGAUGUUUUUGAGAUGUACGAACACAGAUGGUGAUGGAUACGAACAGGCUGAUGAAGGUACCAUGAAUUCUCAUUUUCUUUUCUUAACCAGGGCAUACAAGGUAAAAAAAAAAAAAAAAAAACAAUCCACUUUUUUUUAGGAGCGUUCUCAUGCUCUGCUUCUUGAAAGAAGGUGGGAUGAAACAAUGGGUUGUGAACAUAAUUUAUUGCUUUGGUAAUCACCAUGAAUCUGUUUUUAUUUCCAUCUUUCUUUUCUUUUUUGCAGGCUGUGCAUGUUUGCUCUUGGAAAUCAUCUGUUCCUGAACAUCAUCAUGGCUUGACACAAGAUUCGUCCAACCAUUCCAGUAAUGCAUUGGAAUGCCUUGAGGUUGGAUCCCAGUGGAUUCCGCAACUCAAUCAAGGCCAGGUCAUUGCUGUUUUCUGCAGGAAGAUGGCCCCUGAAGCCCCUGGCAGCCCGACAUUGGCAUCAUCUCCGUAACUGGCAACUAUAUUGUCCACAGUAGCAGCUGUGACUCACCUCGGGGACGAAGCGCUGGUCUCACUGCACAUGGUCAUGUAAGACCAAAUUAAAACCAAUGCCAAAUACAGUAACUGAGACACAGAGGACACACUAGAGGACAUUGACUGUCCUUCAGGGUGCAAGUUUUAAUUUUCACAUAAGUAUGCAGAUGCUGUUAUUAGCUUUUUAUGUGCAUGAUAAUACUGAAUGACUUAAAGUCGCCAUGAUAUCAAAAUGUACAAUUCUUAUUUUUAUAUGUAAUAUUAUAGUGUUUAUAAUAGAUGAUUUAUCUGUGCGCUUCAUUCUUUUUUUAAAAAUUCAUGUGUCCUCAUAAUCUUUAAUCAAAUACAUAAACCUUCCCUCCCCCCUCAAAAUGACUUCUCUUCUAUUUCUGUCAUGUGCUAUGGCGUGAGAAUUAGAUGGUAUUGAGGAUUAGAUCAUUUAAUUUAAUUGAGAAUUUGACAAUUUAGGCAUUUUAUAUGGACACCCAACAAUAAAAUCAAUAUCAUUUGAAUCUGAAAUUAAGAG
ensembl:lncRNA